GCUGGUGCAAACGUAGGAGGGUGGGUGGGUGUGCGUGUGUGCGCAUGCACGUGGGGAACUGCAGGAAUAAAGGUGGAGGAAAAGCCAGGAAAACAAACAAAUGGAUCACAGAAUGAAUCAAUCUAGAAUUUUCACUCCAGGCACGGAGGACCAGGCUCAAACUAUCAUACUUGGACAUAUUAUGCGAAGACCCAGCUCCCUUGAGAAGUCCAUAAUGCUGGGGAAAGUGGAAGGAAAGAGAAGAAGAGGACAAGACCAGCAGCAGGGUGGAUGGACUUGAUUACGACAGCAAUGAAUGCACCACCGAGAGACCUAAAAGGCCAAGUUGAAGAAGAAAGAUCAUCCUGGACAGAAUCCAUGUGGUCACUAAGCGUCAACACCGACUUGAUGGCCCUUAAUCAAUCAAGGGAUUUUUAAAAUUUCACCUUUCCAUUCCCAUCACUGUCAUUAUUGCAGCUUUCGGAGGGAGACAGAUAUACAGUGAAAUAUCCCUAUUUUCCUAUCCAGAAGUCUUUCAGAUAUAUUAGUCACUACAAAGACAAAGAACAACGGUUUCUGCCCCAUGUCAACAUAAUUCCAAAGAAGUCUUUUGACAACAACAAGUAAGCCUCGAGACCAGGGGUUCCCAGCCUCCAGAUAUUGGUGGACCUCAGCUCCUGUCAUCCCCUAGUCACGGGAUAACAGAAGUUGGGUUAUCAACUUCUGGGGACCCAAGGAUGGGAACAACUUCUGCAGGGAUCCUGGACCAUUUGGAGACAAUGUACAAGCAUCUACUUGGUCAAGGCUGGCAUACUUUUUUAGAGUGGCUAACCAGGGCUAGUAAAGCAGCGAUGUUAAUAAUACAAAGAUAAGAGUAUUCAGGGCAAAACUAGACAAACUUGUAAUAUUGUGUGUAUGUGUGUGUUCCUUUAAAGUUACAGUUGUGGGAGGAUCCAGAUCAGGACUGUAAUGCAGUUGGGGAGGGGGCUUGAGCCCUUUGCUUCCUCUCUUUUCUGAUCUGGUUCUCAUUCUGUGUCUGUCAGUUUCACUGGAAUUAAGAUGAACUCAUCCCAACCCCGUCAGGUUGAUGACUGAUUUUGAGAUGGCCGAGGAGGCCUUCAUUGGAGCAGACCUGAACAACUUCUGUUCCUCUUUAUGCAAGGUACCUCUUUUGAAAGGGAUGAAGCUGCCAAGAAGCUGUUCUAUUUCAUGUACUACGCGAGAACAUAAAGGACUUCGAGUGCCUGGAAUAAAUGAAUUGUAUUACACAAUGGCAUUCCAGGAACAAAUUUUAGGAGGAAUAAUAAAGAUUUUAGUAGAUAUCUCCCAGCAACCGUAAAGAAAAUUGUAGCAGCUAUUCUCCCGAAUACUGCAGUCAAACAAUUCUUCCAAAUCCAUUUCAAAAACAAGGGGAUUUUUGAUUGCGAGCAGCAUUCAAAUAAAUUGCCACAAAGAAAUGGCUUCUCUUUUA